UAUAAGUUAUUAGAAUUUUAAUUAAUUAUUAGAAUAUAUAGUGUUUUAUUCGAAUUAAUUAAAUAAAUAAUAAAAUGAUAGAAUUGGGUCAUUAGUGAGAAUUGGAGGAAAUAGGUGGUGGGAUUAGAGAAACUAGUAUUGAGUUGGACAAAGUUAAUAAUUAAGCAAAGUGUUGAGGAACUAUAUAUUCUAAAAAUAGGGAGAAAACUAGGUUUUAGAGGAAAC
rnacentral:lncRNA from 1 species